rnacentral:lncRNA from 1 species
GAGGCUGGAACGGGCGAAAACUGGCGGCGGCCCGGAGCACGGAGCGCCUGUGGCCGUCGAUCCUGGCGCAGAUUUCGGCCCCGAAGCGAGCGCAGUGGUGCUGGACGGAGGCGAGGGAGAAGGGGUGGCGCUGGGGGGAGGCGUCCCCCGCCAUUGGAGCAGCGGAGAGAGGAAUGGAACAGGGAGACGAGGAGGAGGAGGAAGAGGGAGAGUGAGAGGGAGUAGCUUCCGCCAUCGCUCUCCUCCUCCGAUAAC